AACGAACGCUGGCGGCAUGCCUAACACAUGCAAGUCGAACGGGUACCUUCGGGUGCUAGUGGCGCACGGGUGCGUAACGCGUGGGAAUCUGCCCUUGGGUUCGGAAUAACUCAGCGAAAGCUGUGCUAAUACCGGAUGAUGUCGAAAGACCAAAGAUUUAUCGCCCGAGGAUGAGCCCGCGUUGGAUUAGCUAGUUGGUGGGGUAAAGGCCUACCAAGGCGACGAUCCAUAGCUGGUCUGAGGGGAUGAUCAGCCACACUGGGACUGAGACACGGCCCAGACUCCUACGGGAGGCAGCAGUGGGGAAUAUUGGACAAUGGGCGAAAGCCUGAUCCAGCAAUGCCGCGUGAGUGAUGAAGGCCUUAGGGUUGUAAAGCUCUUUUACCCGGGAUGAUAAUGACAGUACCGGGAGAAUAAGCUCCGGCUAACUCCGUG
rnacentral:rRNA from 1 species